rnacentral:rRNA from 2 species
AAUGUGGAGCCGUAGCGAAAGCGAGUCUGAAUAGGGCGUUUAGUAUUUGGUCGUAGACCCGAAACCAGGUGAUCUACCCUUGGUCAGGUUGAAGUUCAGGUAACACUGAAUGGAGGACCGAACCGACUUACGUUGAAAAGUGAGCGGAUGAACUGAGGGUAGCGGAGAAAUUCCAAUCGAACCUGGAGAUAGCUGGUUCUCUCCGAAAUAGCUUUAGGGCUAGCCUCAAGUGAUGAUUAUUGGAGGUAGAGCACUGUUUGGACGAGGGGCCCCUCUCGGGUUACCGAAUUCAGACAAACUCCGAAUGCCAAUUAAUUUAACUUGGGAGUCAGAACAUGGGUGAUAAGGUCCGUGUUCGAAAGGGAAACAGCCCAGACCACCAGCUAAGGUCCCAAAAUAUAUGUUAAGUGGAAAAGGAUGUGGCGUUGCCCAGACAACUAGGAUGUUGGCUUAGAAGCAGCCAUCAUUUAAAGAGUGCGUAAUAGCUCACUAGUCGAGUGACACUGCGCCGAAAAUGUACCGGGGCUAAACAUAUUACCGAAGCUGUGGAUUGUCCUUUGGACAAUGGUAGGAGAGCGUUCUAAGGGCGUUGAAGCAUGAUCGUAAGGACAUGUGGAGCGCUUAGAAGUGAGAAUGCCGGUGUGAGUAGCGAAAGACGGGUGAGAAUCCCGUCCACCGAUUGACUAAGGUUUCCAGAGGAAGGCUCGUCCGCUCUGGGUUAGUCGGGUCCUAAGCUGAGGCCGACAGGCGUAGGCGAUGGAUAACAGGUUGAUAUUCCUGUACCACCUAUAAUCGUUUUAAUCGAUGGGGGGACGCAGUAG